rnacentral:rRNA from 1 species
UAGUCUCAGUUCGGAUCGGAGUCUGCAACCCGACUCCGCGAAGCUGGAUUCGCUAGUAAUCGCGCAUCAGCCAUGGCGCGGUGAAUACGUUCCCGGGCCUUGUACACACCGCCCGUCAAGCCAUGGAAGCCGGGGGUGCCUGAAGUGUGCGGCCGCAAGGAGCGCCCUAAGGUAAAACCGGUGACUGGGGCUAAGUCGUAACAAGGUAAC